rnacentral:lncRNA from 1 species
CUUAAAACUAGAGAGGAUCUAGGAACUGGAGCUGCUGCCUCUGUCUGCUAAGAUGUGAAGUCCAAGACUGAAAGUAACAUAGCAGAAGGAGAACCAAAAGAUAUGUUGAGUCUUGAUGCUAUUUGUUGAACCAGUCCUGAAUCCAGCUGUGUUGGAAGGAGUGAGCAUGGUAGAAAGAUGUGGCUACAAAGAGGAACACACAUGUGGUUCUUGCCCUUUAGGAGUUUAAUUCAAGUAUGGGGGAGUCAGCGCAGCUUUUGAAGCUGGAGAGCAUCAUAUUUUAGAAAGAUCAAGCAAUGUGGAUGAGGACACAUUAAAAAGAGAAGACCGAGAGGAGGGGACACCACUCAGGCUUAUAACCUCCAGCUCACAUUUCAGCACCAAAGGACCAAAGCCUAGACCUGAGAUCUGGCACUUGCAAAAAGAAAGAUCACCUGGAAGAACAAAAUAGAAGACUCCUGCUCCCAAUAGGCUUGGGUCAGGAAGAAGGCUGUUGGCAUAAUUGUGGAGUAGGAAGAUGGAAAACAACUCCUAGAGAUCCCAACAGCUGAACGCGUGCUUGGGCAGUGGCUGCGGGUGAAGUCAUGGGAAGGCAAGUCAUGAAGGGCAUUAAUCAAGGUAAAAGCAAAAGGAAAAUGAGGUUCUUCAGGGCACAGUGUGUGGGAAGCAACAGCAUGAUGGAAUCAUUAGGAGAGAUGCCCAUGACUCCUGCGCCCAGCAGGAGUUGUUUCUGCAGGGGUCCCUGCUUCCAUCUCCUAAGUUGCAGGCAGAGAGGGCAGAAGCCAGGAUCAUCAAUACCCAAGAGGGAGCAUCGAAGAGUGCAUGCUUCCUCUACUAUGUCGUGAUAUAGAUGGAGGCCAGGAUUUGGGAGCUUUGGAACACAUCUCUCCCAGGCCUGAUUGUUAGGAGAGGACUUAGGCAAGGUGUGGGCAAUGCUGGUGCUUCACCUUUCCUUGUUGACCAGACAGACCCAGAAGGGUCAUUUGUCAAAACAAAGAAAAUCUCUUCCAGGGGUGAGGCAGGUGUGGCUGCCUGUAUGUGAGGUUAUUUUUUCCACAGAUGAAUUUCUAAUCCUAAAUAAUCAUUUACAUGAAUUCAGAUUUUUUUGAUCCAGGAUAUGUUCUGGGAGUAACUCCCCUGCUUUCCCUGGAUGUGUGCGAGAAAGCAUAGGCAUCCACUUUCUGACCAACAGGAGACCCAGUCUCAGGAUGGAGCAGACACCAUGCAUGGUAGAGCAGAGAGACAGAUACAACCUAGGUCCUUGAUGAAAUGAUUGGCCACUGGAUCAGCCACAGUUAAAGACUGCCUACCUUUGGACUUCUGGUUAUCUUAGGCCAAAAAUGUCCUUUUUGUUUAAGGCACUUUGAGCCGGGUUUUCUAAGACCUAGCAGUCUCAACCAUCCAAACUAAUAAGCUGAAUUAACUAGAUUUCCUGUCAUGUCCUUCCUGCCUGAUUGGUAGCCCUUGACUCCAAUUUGGCCUCAUUUUCCGUACCUUACUGGCUGCCUUUUCCUCUACUCAUAGGUCACUUGGAAAUAAAAUAUAGAUUUACUUCAAGGGAAUUAUACCGGUGGCACUAGAGAUGUAAAUGAGAUCUGUUAGUGAGCAGUGAGAAUGCAUGGAAAGAAAAAUCUGACACUAGUGUGGAGAAUGAACUUCUUGGACGAGCAAACAGAGACCGGAAGUAGAGCAGUGAACGACAGUCAACUGCACCUAUGGAGAUGGCUGGCAAAGCUGGAGAAGUGGCUGAAGUCCUUGGGAGUGUGAAGAGGGGAUGGCCAAGGAUGGAGCCCUGAGGAAUCUCAACAACCAAAGGGUAGGUGGAGGGAAAUCUGGUUUCUGGAUUAACUACUGAAUAGCAACUGCAGUCAACAGCUGAUGGAAUCUUGCAGGAAGACUAAGCUGGUGUUCAGAGAAGUUUUGUUCAGGCAUCCCAUUUUAUUUCACUCAUACUAUCCAAUGGCUGUGUUUGCAUGUGGAUAUGAAAGUAUCUGAAUAUUCUGAUUAACAUUUGUAUGAAGGAUUUCUGUCUACUAAAGAGUGCAACAGAAUAGACCAUCUGGAGAGAGGGCUGUUUCAUUCCGAUGGAAGGUGGCAACAAAGUUGUCAUCUAAAAGGAGGAUGCUGGGAGUGGUAUUCUGUUCCUGGAAAUAAAAGUCAACCUAAUCCUUGGUCUGUUGUGGGGAAAGUCAGAUGAUGUGAGUCCUUGUUCACACAGUAAGUGCCCAGAAAACCUUGGUGCUUUUCCUCUUCCCUUCCCUGAAGCUGAACUUCUGCGGAAAAAUCCAAGAAAAAGUGUAUAAGUGUUCCUUUUUCUCCACAGCCUUGCCAGCUUCUGUUGUUUUUUGUCUUUUUAUUAAUGGCCAUUUGGACUGGUGUGAGAUGAUAUCUCAUUAUGGUUUAGAUUUGCAUUUUUCUGAUGAUUAGUGAUGGCUUUUCUCUAGGGUGAAGGUACACUCGAGCGUGGUCAUUGAGGACAAGUCGACGAGAGAUCCCGAGUACGUCUACAGUCAGCCUUACGAGUGGACUGAUCAAGUUGAAAGCAACAGAACAAGCAUCUAUAAGAAUUGAUUAUAUGUCCCAGCACUUUGGAAGGCUGAGGCAAGUGGAUCCCUUGGGCCUAGGACUUCGCGAGACCAGUUGGGCAACAUGAUGAACUCCUACUAAUUUUCGUCCUUCAGAACAAGAUGGAAGAAACUACGGUCACAUAUGCAAAUGGAGAAGAUGAUGAACACAGAAAAAUUAUGCAAAGAUAAUCCCUAAACCUUCUUUCUCAUCAAAAGUUAUAGCAAGGUGGUUUAAUAUAUCACUGACGGAACACGAUGCUUUGUUUAAUGAAGACUCAGACGGAAAGGAUCAGACAUCAACCUAUAAAUGCAUCAACCAGAAGGAAAGACCAAUUUUGAAAACUGUUGAGCAUUAUUCUAUACCUCUAAGCUGUUCUUUUCUGAACCAUGAAUCGGGAGAAUUAUUGUCACUCAUACAUGAGUAUGAGUUGUAAUUCUCAAUUCCCAAGUAAAAAUCUUCCUGCUUUUGUUA